UAAGGCUGGGUGCCGUGGUGGCUGCUGUCCAUAUCGGUCCUGUGGCAGUGGCGGUGGGACGUUUGCGUGAACGGUUGAUUUUCAGAGUUGUUGGUUCCCUUGGAGACUCCUACGGUCGCGAUGGCCCGUGGAAACCAAAGGGAACUUGCCCGUCAGAAAAAUAUGAAGAAAACACAGGAGAUUAGCAAGGGAAAAAGAAAAGAAGAUAGCUUGUCUGCCUCUCAGAGAAAGCAGAGGGAUUCUGAAAUCAUGCAACAAAAGCAGAAGGCUGCUAAUGAGAAGAAAUCUCUGCAGACAGGUGAAAAAUGAUCCAACAGUAAUUUGAAGAACCAGGUGGAUCACAAGAUCUGAAAUCAAGAAUUUGUAGAAUGACCAGCCAUUAAAAAUUAACAAUUUAUCAUA